rnacentral:rRNA from 1 species
GUCUACAGCCAUGCCACCCUGAACAAGCCUGAUGUCUGAGCUCAGAAGCUAAGCAGGGUUGGGCCUGGUUAGUACUUGGAUGGGAGACCACCUAGGAAGUCCAAGUGCUGGAGGCA